AUUGAACGCUGGCGGCAUGCCUUACACAUGCAAGUCGAACGGUAACAGGUUAAGCUGACGAGUGGCGAACGGGUGAGUAAUAUAUCGGAACGUGCCCAGUCGUGGGGGAUAACGUAGCGAAAGCUACGCUAAUACCGCAUACGAUCAACGGAUGAAAGCGGGGGAUCGCAAGACCUCGCGCGAUUGGAGCGGCCGAUAUCAGAUUAGGUUGUUGGUGAGGUAAAAGCUCAACAAGCCUGCGAUCUGUAGCUGGUCUGAGAGGACGACCAGCCACACUGGAACUGAGACACGGUCCAGACUCCUACGGGAGGCAGCAGUGGGGAAUUUUGGACAAUGGACGCAAGUCUGAUCCAGCAAUGCCGCGUGCAGGACGAAGGCCUUCGGGUUGUGAACUGCUUUUGUACGGAACGAAACGGUGAGCUCUAAUACAGUUUGCUAAUGACGGUACCGUAAGAAUAAGCACCGGCUAACUACGUGCCAGCCGCCGCCGUAA
rnacentral:rRNA from 1 species